GACGAACGCUGGCGGCGUGCUUAACACAUGCAAGUCGAACGGAAAGGCCCUGCUUUUGUGGGGUGCUCGAGUGGCGAACGGGUGAGUAACACGUGAGUAACCUGCCCUUGACUUUGGGAUAACUUCAGGAAACUGCGGCUAAUACCGGCUAGGAGCUCCUGCUGCAUGGGGGGGGUUGGAAAGCUUCGGCGGUUGGGGAUGGACUCGCGGCUUAUCAGCUUGUUGGUGGGGUAGUGGCUUACCAAGGCUUUGGCGGGUAGCCGGCCUGGGAGGGUGGCCGGCCACAUUGGGACUGAGAUACGGCGCAGACUCCUACGGGAGGCAGCAGUGGGGAAUAUUGCACAAUGGGCGGAAGCCUGAUGCAGCAACGCCGCGUGCGGGAUGACGGCCUUCGGGUUGUAAACCGCUUUCGCCUGUGACGAAGCGUGAGUGACGGUAAUGGGUAAAGAAGCACCGGCUAACUACGUG
rnacentral:rRNA from 1 species